rnacentral:rRNA from 1 species
GGUGACAGCCCCGUACACAAAAAUGCACAUGCUGUGAGCUCGAUGAGUAGGGCGGGACACGUGGUAUCCUGUCUGAAUAUGGGGGGACCAUCCUCCAAGGCUAAAUACUCCUGACUGACCGAUAGUGAACCAGUACCGUGAGGGAAAGGCGAAAAGAACCCCGGCGAGGGGAGUGAAAAAGAACCUGAAACCGUGUACGUACAAGCAGUGGGAGCACAGAGCAAUCUGUGUGACUGCGUACCUUUUGUAUAAUGGGUCAGCGACUUAUAUUCUGUAGCAAGGUUAACCGAAUAGGGGAGCCGAAGGGAAACCGAGUCUUAACUGGGCGUUAAGUUGCAGGGUAUAGACCCGAAACCCGGUGAUCUAGCCAUGGGCAGGUUGAAGGUUGGGUAACACUAACUGGAGGACCGAACCGACUAAUGUUGAAAAAUUAGCGGAUGACUUGUGGCUGGGGGUGAAAGGCCAAUCAAACCGGGAGAUAGCUGGUUCUCCCCGAAAGCUAUUUAGGUAGCGCCUCGUGAAUUCAUCUCCGGGGGUAGAGCACUGUUUCGGCAAGGGGGUCAUCCCGACUUACCAACCCGAUGCAAACUGCGAAUACCGGAGAAUGUUAUCACGGGAGACACACGGCGGGUGCUAACGUCCGUCGUGAAGAGGGAAACAACCCAGACCGCCAGCUAAGGUCCCAAAGUCAUGGUUAAGUGGGAAACGAUGUGGGAAGGCCCAGACAGCCAGGAUGUUGGCUUAGAAGCAGCCAUCAUUUAAAGAAAGCGUAAUAGCUCACUGGUCGAGUCGGCCUGCGCGGAAGAUGUAACGGGGCUAAACCAUGCACCGAAGCUGCGGCAGCGACACUGUGUGUUGUUGGGUAGGGGAGCGU